CUACGGGCUGCUCCAGGCGAGAAAAUUCUGCAAUGCACGCAAGUGUGACAGAGGAAUCUUAAGUGUUUGGGUUUUUCCCUAACUUUUCUUUAGUUUAAAACGCUAGAGGAAUAAGGGCUGGGUAAGACCGGUGCCAGCAGCCGCGGUAAUACCGGCGGCCCAAGUGGCAUUCACAUUUAUUGGGUCUAAAGCAUUCGUAGCCGGCUUUGUAAGUUUCUUGUUAAAUAUUUCUGCUUAACGGAAAAACUGCAAGAAAUACUGCAAAGCUAGAGACUGGGAGACGUAAAGAGUACAGAUUGGGUAGUGGUAAAAUACUUUAAUCUUUUCUGGACUAACAAUGGCGAAGGCACUUUACGAGAACAGAUCUGACGGUGAGGGAUGAAGGCCAAGGGCGCAAAACGGAUUAGAUACCCCUGUAGUC
rnacentral:rRNA from 1 species